GAGCCGGGGAAGGUCGGAGGGAGGGUGGUUUCCUCCCGCCCCACACCCAGUCUCCGAGCCGGAUAUAUAGAGUGUCACGUUUGGGAGCCGAAAGACUGGAGCCGUUUCCUUGUGGCUGGAGCGCUUCCCGUAGCCUCGGGGAAGGAGCAGGAUUUAGAGGACCACUAGUUGGACCCCAUCCUCGUGCUGGAGGAACAGUGUCCUUGCAUGAGGAGUGCCUCUGCCCGGCUGCUGCCCCAUCUGGGAAGUGAGGAGCACCUCUGCCCAGCUGCCACCCCAUCUGGGAUGUGAGGAGCGCCUCUGCCCGGCUGCCCAACCAUCUGGGAAGUGUGGAGCGCCUCUGCCCAGCUGCCCACUGUCUGGGAUGUGAGGAGUGCCUCUGCCCAGCUGCCGCCCCAUCUGGCAAGUGAGGAGUGCCUUUGCCGGCCUGCCAACCGCCUGUGAAGUGAGGAGCACCUCUGCCUGGCCGCCAACCAUGUGGGAAGUGAUGAGGGCCUCUGCCCAGCUGCUGCCCCAUCUGGCAUGUGAGGAGCACCUCGGACUGACUGCCCACCAUCCAGGAAGUGAGAAGUGCCUCUGCCCAGCUGCCCACUGUCUGGGAACUGAGGAGCACCUCUGCCCGGCCGCUGCCCUGUCUAGUAAGUGAAGAGUGUCUCUGCCUGGCCGCCACCCCAUCUGGGAAGUGAGGAGCGUCUCUGCCCUGCCGCCCAACUGACUGGUAAGUGAGGAGUGCCUCUGCCCGGCCGCCAACCAUCUGGGAAGUAAGGAGCACCUCUGCCUGGCUGCCGCCCAGUCUGGGAAGUGAGGAGCGCCUCUGUCUGGCCGCUGCCUCAUCUGGGAAGUGAGGAGCACCUCUGCCCGGCCACCAACU
rnacentral:lncRNA from 1 species